rnacentral:rRNA from 1 species
AUGAACGCUGGCGGCGUGCCUAAUACAUGCAAGUCGAACGAGUUCUGAUUAUUGAAAGGUGCUUGCAUCUUGAUUUAAUUUUGAACGAGUGGCGGACGGGUGAGUAACACGUGGGUAACCUGCCCUUAAGUGGGGGAUAACAUUUGGAAACAGAUGCUAAUACCGCAUAAAUCCAAGAACCGCAUGGUUCUUGGCUGAAAGAUGGCGUAAGCUAUCGCUUUUGGAUGGACCCGCGGCGUAUUAGCUAGUUGGUGAGGUAACGGCUCACCAAGGCAAUGAUACGUAGCCGAACUGAGAGGUUGAUCGGCCACAUUGGGACUGAGACACGGCCCAAACUCCUACGGGAGGCAGCAGUAGGGAAUCUUCCACAAUGGACGCAAGUCUGAUGGAGCAACGCCGCGUGAGUGAAGAAGGCUUUCGGGUCGUAAAACUCUGUUGUUGGAGAAGAAUGGUCGGCAGAGUAACUGUUGUCGGCGUGACGGUAUCCAACCAGAAAGCCACGGCUAACUACGUGCCAGCAGCCGCGGUAAUACGUAGGUGGCAAGCGUUAUCCGGAUUUAUUGGGCGUAAAGCGAGCGCAGGCGGUUUUUUAAGUCUGAUGUGAAAGCCCUCGGCUUAACCGAGGAAGUGCAUCGGAAACUGGGAAACUUGAGUGCAGAAGAGGACAGUGGAACUCCAUGUGUAGCGGUGAAAUGCGUAGAUAUAUGGAAGAACACCAGUGGCGAAGGCGGCUGUCUGGUCUGUAACUGACGCUGAGGCUCGAAAGCAUGGGUAGCGAACAGGAUUAGAUACCCUGGUAGUCCAUGCCGUAAACGAUGAAUGCUAGGUGUUGGAGGGUUUCCGCCCUUCAGUGCCGCAGCUAACGCAUUAAGCAUUCCGCCUGGGGAGUACGACCGCAAGGUUGAAACUCAAAGGAAUUGACGGGGGCCCGCACAAGCGGUGGAGCAUGUGGUUUAAUUCGAAGCAACGCGAAGAACCUUACCAAGUCUUGACAUCCUGCGACGGUUCUGGAAACAGAACUUUCCUUCGGGACGCAGAGACAGGUGGUGCAUGGUUGUCGUCAGCUCGUGUCGUGAGAUGUUGGGUUAAGUCCCGCAACGAGCGCAACCCUUAUGACUAGUUGCCAGCAUUUAGUUGGGCACUCUAGUAAGACUGCCGGUGACAAACCGGAGGAAGGUGGGGAUGACGUCAAAUCAUCAUGCCCCUUAUGACCUGGGCUACACACGUGCUACAAUGGAUGGUACAACGAGUUGCGAGACCGCGAGGUCAAGCUAAUCUCUUAAAGCCAUUCUCAGUUCGGACUGUAGGCUGCAACUCGCCUACACGAAGUCGGAAUCGCUAGUAAUCGCGGAUCAGCACGCCGCGGUGAAUACGUUCCCGGGCCUUGUACACACCGCCCGUCACACCAUGAGAGUUUGUAACACCCGAAGCCGGUGGCGUAACCCUUUUAGGGAGCGAGCCGUCUAAGGUGGGACAAAUGAUUAGGGUG